UACGAAGGGGGCUAGCGUUGCUCGGAAUUACUGGGCGUAAAGCGCACGUAGGCGGCUCUUUAAGUCAGGGGUGAAAUCCUGGAGCUCAACUCCAGAACUGCCUUUGAUACUGAGGACCUUGAGUUCGGGAGAGGUGAGUGGAACUGCGAGUGUAGAGGUGAAAUUCGUAGAUAUUCGCAAGAACACCAGUGGCGAAGGCGGCUCACUGGCCCGAUACUGACGCUGAGGUGCGAAAGCGUGGGGAGCAAACAGG
rnacentral:rRNA from 1 species